UACGGAGGGGGGCUAGCGUUGUUCGGAAUUACUGGGCGUAAAGCGCGCGUAGGCGGCUUUGUAAGUUAGAGGUGAAAGCCCCGGAGCUUAACUCCGGAACUGCCUUUAAGACUGCAUCGCUAGAAUUGUGGAGAGGUAAGUGGAAUUCCGAGUGUAGAGGUGAAAUUCGUAGAUAUCAGGAGGAACACCAGCGGCGAAGGCGGCGCUCUGGG
rnacentral:rRNA from 1 species